rnacentral:rRNA from 1 species
AGAGUUUGAUCAUGGCUCAGGAUGAACGCUAGCUACAGGCUUAACACAUGCAAGUCGAGGGGCAGCAUGUUGGUUGCUUGCAACCAACGAUGGCGACCGGCGCACGGGUGAGUAACGCGUAUCCAACCUACCCUUGCCCAUCGGAUAACCCGUCGAAAGGCGGCCUAACACGAUAUGCGGUUCACAGCAGGCAUCUAACGUGAACGAAAUGUGGAGGAGAAGGAUGGGGAUGCGUCUGAUUAGCUUGUUGGCGGGUAACGGCCACAAGGCUACGAUCAGUAGGGGUUCUGAGAGGAAGGUCCCCCACAUUGGAACUGAGACACGGUCCAAACUCCUACGGGAGGCA